CCGUCCCGUAGUUUCCCUCGAGUGUUUGAAGUUACAGGAAUCUAAAGGGUGGAGAAUGAAGCGGCGCAAUGCGGACUGCAGCAAACUCCGUCGCCCGUUGAAACGGAACCGAAUCACCGAGGGUAUUCACAGCAGUACCUUUCUAUACCUGAAGUUCCUGGUCGUUUGGGCGCUGGUUCUGCUGGCCGAUUUCGUGCUGGAGUUCAGGUUCGAGUAUCUGUGGCCUUUCUGGCUCUUCAUCAGGAGUGUUUAUGAUUCCUUUAGAUAUCAGGGAUUGGCGUUCUCUGUGUUCUUUGUGUUUGUUGCAUUCACGUCAGACAUCAUCUGCCUCCUGUUCAUCCCCAAGCAAUGGCUGUUCUUUGCUGCCAGCACGUAUGUCUGGGUACAGUACGUGUGGCAUACAGAGCGAGGCGUUUGUCUGCCCACUGUCUCUCUCUGGAUUCUUUUCGUCUACAUCGAAGCAGCCAUCCGAUUCAAGGAUUUGAAACAUUUUCAUGUAGACCUUUGCCGUCCAUUUGCAGCUCACUGCAUUGGCUAUCCGGUGGUGACGCUGGGCUUCGGCUUCAAGAGUUACGUGAGCUAUAAGAUGCGUCUGCGGAAGCAAAAGGAAGUCCAGAAGGAAAAUGAGUUCUACAUGCAGCUCCUACAGCAGGCCCUGCCCCCAGAACAACAGAUGCUUCAGAGACAGGAGCGAGAGACAGACGAGGCCACUUCAAAAGGCACAUCUGAAGCAGACUCUGUGUUAGUGGCUCAGAACGGCACUGCUAAUACCAAGAAACUGCCCAUCUCUCUACCUGAACUGGAGUACAAGGAGAAGGGCAAAGACGGGGGGAAAGACAAAAAACAGCAGCAACACAGCAUAGGAAUAAACAACAACAUCUUACAGACUGUGGAUGCUAAACUACAGGACAUUGAGUAUAUGGAGAACCACCUAAACACUAAGAGACUCAACAAUGAGCUCGGCGGCAGCGCAGAGAACCUGUUCCUAAAAGAGGAGGUAGGCGGUGGAGGAGGAGGCUCUGCCCCCUCUAAACAUUACAAAAACUCCUCCCCCCGUAGCCACAACUCCACCAAUGGCAGCGUACCAUCCUCCUCAUCCAGCAGGAGUGAAAAGAAACAGAAGUGUGCAGGGAAGAACCUUGCACCACACAGAGAUCUGAUGGAGAACUGUAUACCUAACAACCAGCUCAGUAAGCCAGAUGCAUUAGUGCGGCUUGAGCAGGACAUAAAGAAGUUGAAGGCUGACCUGCAGGCGAGCAGACAGGUGGAGCAAGACCUGCGCAGUCAGAUCAGCUCUCUGAGCAGUGCCGAGAGAAGCAUGCGCUCUGAGCUGGGGCAGCUCCGCCAAGAAAACGAGUUACUGCAAAACAAGCUUCAUAACGCUGUGCAGGCCAAGCAAAAGGACAAGCAAAUGAUUGUGCAGCUUGAGAAGCGGCUCAAGGCAGAACAGGAAGCGCGAGCCGCAGUGGAAAAGCAGCUUGCAGAAGAGAAGAAAAGAAAGAAGAUGGAAGAGGCUACAGCUGCACGUGCUGUCGCUCUGGCAGCUGCCUCCAGAGGGGAAUGCACAGACUCGCUGAGGAGUCGCAUACGUGAGCUGGAGUCAGAAUGCAAGAAGCUCAUGCACGACAUGAAGCUAAAGGAGGAACUCAUCAGAGAGCUAGAGCUCAAAGCGCAAGAGCUGCGUAAAUAUAAGGAGAACGAAAAGGACACGGAGGUUCUGAUGUCAGCACUGUCGGCCAUGCAGGACAAGACCCAGCACUUAGAGAACAGUCUGAGUGCUGAGACCAGAAUUAAACUUGAUCUCUUCUCAGCACUCGGAGAUGCCAAGCGACAGCUAGAGAUUGCUCAGGGUCAGAUUUUGCUGAAGGAUCAGGAGAUAAAAGAAUUGAAGCAGAAGAUCGCAGAGGUCAUGGCGGUCAUGCCCAGCAUCACCUACUCGGCAGAGACCAACAACAUGACCCCUGUGACCCCACAUUACUCAUCCAAGUUCAUGGACACCAGUCCUUCCAGCUUGGACCCCAAUGCCUCUGUCUACCAGCCGCUCAAGAAGUGAAUGUUCACACACGUCGUCCACUUCGCUCUUUGAUUUGUCUAAAAGUUCAGUAUGCAAACCAGUGGGAUGGGGUUGUAUUUUUGUUUGAUUUACCCCUUCUGUUAGUAUGUUAUUGCUAAUAUAAGUGGAGGAUUAGAAGGGAAAAAAUGGAUGUCACAUUAACAAGAACUGCCCUCCUGGUGUUUGAAGUUAUUUUUGAAGCUCUUCCACCUAAGUUCUUUUCUUGGUAACGGCACUUCAGCCUAUUGUGGUUCUUUUGUCAUCCUAUAUCCGUUUUGUGAGGUCUUAAUGAAGACCUUUCAUGAUUUUAUUAGUACCACCCCAUCUUUGUGUUGAAUCUGAACCGUUUUAUGUGCCAGAAAUGUUGGCAUGACUUUUUACUUCCCUGGUGUAAGCGUACAUAUUUAAGUUCUUUGAAUGUAAAAAGAAAAGGGAAAAAUGUACUGAGAUGAGGCACAAGUAUUAGUGAUGGAAAACAUGUCGUGUUUGUUGCAAUGGAGUGAUUAAGAAUGCAUUUGUUUAAUUAUGACCAUAGUAUUGUACAUCUGUUUUCAGGGUGGUAUAAAUCAUUUCAUUACAGAUGUUGGAUCUGAAUUAGUUAUAUUUUUUCAAAUUUUCGGUUUCUCCCAAUGCUGUUUUUCAAGAUGUCGAAGACACGAAAAAAACCCGCGUGUUUAAAAAGGGACUGAUCUUCACAUUGUAUUUGUGGACAAAAAUGCUGCAUAAAUAUUUGGGAAUGUUGUCGUAUUUUGCGGUCAAUGCAAGUCCUUUUUGUUACCGGACGAAAUUGAAAUAGAAUUUAGUUAAAACCAGUUGAAAAACUGGACAUAUGAUGUCUUGUUUGCCAGUUGUUAUGUUACACAGUGCCUUGAAAUAUCUUGUUUAAUAUAUUCUCACACACUUCCCAUGCCAUGUUCAACCACUCCUAGAAUCCAUCUGAUUGGUCAGCAUACCAUAUGACCUGUUAUUCCCAAGUGUGGCAUUUAAAAUCAUCUGCCCUCUUGUUGCCAUAUAACAGCAAGCCCACUUUAAUCCACUAGUUAUCAGUGUUCCAUUAUUUCUGCUGUCUCUAAUUUGCGUUAACAUGUUCAUUGCAUUUUAUAAAAUUCGCUGAAUGGUUUGAUUUUGGUCAAAUGUGCCAAUUUUUUCUCCCCUCCUCCAUUUAAUGUCAUUGAAGAUAAUGCAAACUAUACAUGCAUCAUUUUAUAGAGCUCUCAUUGCAGAUAACGUCUAAAAUCAAUCCAUUAAUGCUUCAUUACAAAGUUCUACUUCACAUUUCUUCUUCAUUGGUUUAAGGAUUGUGUCAAGAUCCAGGCAGAAUAUGCCUGUUUGGUUUAGUCCUUGUUUUACAACAGGGGUUUCUUUUUUAUUUGUCUACCUUGGGAAAGUAUUACUGUGGAUUGCAUUUGGUGUUUUUAUGGUAAACUUUGUGGAGAGUAAAGAACACGCCUUUGUUUCUCA